AAUAAAGUGCCUGACUAAAGGGCUAUCUUGAUAGGAUAGAUAAUGUGAAUUUCACCUUUAUUA
rnacentral:tRNA from 1 species